rnacentral:rRNA from 1 species
UGGGGAAUUUUGCGCAAUGGGGGAAACCCUGACGCAGCAACGCCGCGUGGGGGAGGAAGGUCUUCGGAUUGUAAACCCCUGUUGCCCGGGACGAACAGCCUGUUUCGACAGGUCUGACGGUACCGGGUGAGGAAGCACCGGCUAACUCCGUGCCAGCAGCCGCGGUAAUACGGGGGGUGCGAGCGUUGUCCGGAAUCACUGGGCGUAAAGGGCGCGUAGGUGGCCUGGUAAGUCUGUGGUGAAAGCCCGGAGCUCAACUCCGGGUCUGCCGCGGAUACUGCGAGGCUUGAGUGCUGUAGAGGGGGGUAGAAUAUCGGGUGUAGCGGUGGAAUGCGUAGAGAUCCGAUAGAAGACCGGUGGCGAAGGCGGCCCCCUGGGCAGUAACUGACACUGAGGCGCGACAGCGUGGGGAGCAAAC